AUUGAACGCUGGCGGCAGGCCUAACACAUGCAAGUCGAACGGGGUGGCGGACGGGUGAAUAGUGUCUGGGACACUGCCCAGUAGCGGGGGAUAACUCCGCGAAAGCGUAGCUAAUACCGCAUACUAUUGGAGCGGCCGAUAUGAGAUUAGCUAGGUGGUGGGGUAACGGAUCACCAAGGCGACGAUCCGUAGCUGGUUUGAGAGGAUGACCAGCCACACGGGGACUGAGACACGGCCCAGACUCCUACGGGAGGCAGCAGUGGGGAAUUUUGCACAAUGGGGGAAACCCUGAUCCAGCGAUCCCGCGUGUGCGAAGAAGGCCUUCGGGUUGUAAAGCACUUUUGGCAGGAAAGCGGUACCUGCAGAAUAAGCACCGGCUAACUACGUGCCAGCAGCCGCGGUAAUAC
rnacentral:rRNA from 1 species